rnacentral:piRNA from 1 species
UGAAUGCCCAUACCGAACACUGUAAGAUG